rnacentral:lncRNA from 1 species
GGCUUAAAGGAAUAUUGUUUCCCUGUUUGGAUCACCCAGGCAUCACCCAGCAUGAGUCCUAUGGGCAACAUCCUACCUGGGAUGUGUCACAUGCCAUUCUUCUGAUUUUCAUGAAUAUCCUCUAAAAGGCAGCUAAGCACUCGCUGUCUUCUUCCUUUUGCCUCAUCAAGCACGGGGGACGCUGGAAGGAAGAGUAUUUGUACAGUUGAGCCGAAAUGCCUGUUCUAACAAAGAGAGCCUGGGUGGGACUGCCAAGAUGAAUAGACAUAAUCCUCGAUCUAACCACUUCACAGUUUAUCAUCGGAGUCAAGUUUGCAGAUAAACAAUUGCCAUGCAACUUUCAAGAAAAUGGUGCCUGAGAUGAGCAAGGUCAGCAGACAAGAAGUGAGGUCAAUGUCAGGUUUCCAUGCCAGCAGCGGGAACUCUGGAUACAGUGGAGAGUCACAGCUGGUCAAACCCUGAACCGCUUGCUCCUUGAAAUGGCCAGAGAGGCCCAUCCCAGAGCCAUCUCAUCAUCUCUCCUCAGACAGGAAACCGAGAAGGAAAACAAUCAGCUCUGUUCUCUCUGGGCCGAGGGAGUGAGCUGUAAUGAGGGAGCACAGGAACGCAUUGGGCGCCCUCAGACCUGAACACACAGGUUAGCACCACCUGCCUGGCUGACCUGGCUCACAGUUGAGAAUAACUCAUCCAGGGUUGUUGAAUGGUGGAGGAUCUUCCAAAAUCAGCAGCUAGGAGGUCGAGAACCCUUCAUGCCAUACUAAGAAGUUUCAUGCUAGGCAAAGAAGAGUGACAAGGUAUUUCAACAGGUGAAUGAUAGGUACACAAAGAAGGAUUACCACAGGAAAUCCAGAGAGGCUUUAGAAGACGAGCUUGCGUUGAGAUAGAAGCCGGAAGCCCACUUAGCCAACUGCCUCCAUGGGACUUGGCAUGAGGCAGGCUUAUGACAGUAAAUGCUACACUGCCCUCAGUGAAAAAGAGAAUUUGGCAUUCAUUCUUCUGAACCCGCCAUCCCUCAGCCUUGGCGCCUGGGAAUUCUGCGAAUCGUUGCCUGUGGCAGUGACACUGAUUUGUAUCUGGGUAUGAACUUAAAUGAAAACAUGAAUUGAACUCAUUACUUGAGGAAGGAAACACUGCCAAAUUUAACAGGAUGAAAUUCCAGCAGGGUGUAAGGUUUUAUGGGGCUACAGUGGAAUAUCUCAUAGAAAGGUUUCCAGUUCAUAAAACACUUUCAAAACAUGCUCGGCCCUUUUAAGUUGAAGGGACAUUAUCAUUUCUAUCUAUGGCAUUUCUCUGCAAAUUGAACUCAAAUAUCCUUUGGGCUGACUACACAGAGAACAGAAGAAAGAAGUGGAAGAAACUUGGACUGAAGAUUGCCUCCCUGAAAAGGUUUUCUUCAGGCAGAAUUAGGAACUGCUUUUGCAAUAAGUAAAGUCAAUGAAGAAAGUAAGAGGAUUGCAAAGGUUUCCCCCGCUGAUUCUGC